rnacentral:tRNA from 1 species
GUGACCAUGGCGUCAGUUGGUUAAAGCGCCUGUCUAGUAAACAGGAGAUCCUGAGUUCGAAUCUCAGUGGUGCCU